ensembl:snRNA U6 U6 spliceosomal RNA
UGCCUGUUCGGCGGCACUAAAAUUGGAACAAUACAGAGAUUAGCACAGCCUCUGUGUAAGGAUGACAUGCAAAUUUGUGAAGUGUUCCAUAUUUUU